GAUGAACGCUGGCGGCGUGCCUAAUACAUGCAAGUCGAGCGAACAGACGAGGAGCUUGCUCCUCUGACGUUAGCGGCGGACGGGUGAGUAACACGUGGAUAACCUACCUAUAAGACUGGGAUAACUUCGGGAAACCGGAGCUAAUACCGGAUAAUAUAUUGAACCGCAUGGUUCAAUAGUGAAAGACGGUUUUGCUGUCACUUAUAGAUGGAUCCGCGCCGCAUUAGCUAGUUGGUAAGGUAACGGCUUACCAAGGCGACGAUGCGUAGCCGACCUGAGAGGGUGAUCGCCCACCCUGGAACUGAGACACGGUCCAGACUCCUACGGGAGGCAGCAGUAGGGAAUCUUCCGCAAUGGGCGAAAGCCUGACGGAGCAACGCCGCGUGAGUGAUGAAGGUCUUCGGAUCGUAAAACUCUGUUAUUAGGGAAGAACAAAUGUGUAAGUAACUAUGCACGUCUUGACGGUACCUAAUCAGAAAGCCACGGCUAACUACGUG
rnacentral:rRNA from 1 species